GAUGAACGCUAGCUACAGGCUUAACACAUGCAAGUCGAGGGGAAACGGAACAUCGAAAGCUUGCUUUUGUAUGGGCGUCGACCGGCGCACGGGUGAGUAACGCGUAUCCAACCUGCCCACCACUUGGGGAUAACCUUGCGAAAGUAAGACUAAUACCCGAUGAUAUCCCUAGAAGACAUCUGAAAGGGAUUAAAGAUUUAUCGGUGAUGGAUGGGGAUGCGUCUGAUUAGCUUGUUGGCGGGGUAACGGCCCACCAAGGCAACGAUCAGUAGGGGUUCUGAGAGGAAGGUCCCCCACAUUGGAACUGAGACACGGUCCAAACUCCUACGGGAGGCAGCAGUGAGGAAUACUUGGUCAAUGGGCGAGAGCCUGAACCAGCCAAGUAGCGUGCAGGAUGACGGCCCUAUGGGUUGUAAACUGCUUUUAUAAGGGAAUAAAGUGAGUCUCGUGAGACUUUUUGCAUGUACCUUAUGAAU
rnacentral:rRNA from 1 species